rnacentral:rRNA from 1 species
CGUAGGGUGCGAGCGUUAAUCGGAAUUACUGGGCGUAAAGUGUGCGCAGGUGGCCGCGCAUGUCGAGUGUGAAAUCCCCGGGCUUAACUUGGGAAUUGCGCUCGAAACUACGUGGCUGGAGUGUGGCAGAGGAAGGUGGAAUUCCAGGUGUAGCGGUGAAAUGCGUAGAGAUCUGGAGGAACACCGAUGGCGAAGGCAGCCUUCUGGGCCAACACUGACACUCAUGCACGAAAGCGUGGGGAGCAAACAGGAUUAGAUACCCUGGUAGUCCACGCCCUAAACGAUGAUGACUAGUUGUUGGAGGAGUUAAAUCCUUUAGUAACGCAGCUAACGCGUGAAGUCAUCCGCCUGGGGAGUACGGUCGCAAGAUUA